rnacentral:tRNA from 1 species
GGGGCCGUAGCUCAGCUGGGAGAGCGCUUGAAUGGCAUUCAAGAGGUCGGGAGUUCGAUCCUCCUCGGCUCCACCA